rnacentral:rRNA from 1 species
UGGGGAAUAUUGCACAAUGGGCGCAAGCCUGAUGCAGCAACGCCGCGUGAAGGAUGAAGGGUUUCGGCUCGUAAACUUCUUUAGGCAGGGACGAUAAUGACGGUACCUGCAGAAUAAGCCCCGGCUAACUACGUGCCAGCAGCCGCGGUAAUACGUAGGGGGCAAGCGUUAUCCGGAAUUACUGGGUGUAAAGGGUGAGUAGGCGGUUAGGUAAGUCAUAUGUGAAAUGCCGGGGCUUAACCCCGGAACUGCAUAAGAAACUAUCUGACUUGAGUACAGGAGAGGUAAGCGGAAUUCCUAGUGUAGCGGUGAAAUGCGUAGAUAUUAGGAAGAACACCAGUGGCGAAGGCGGCUUACUGGACUGAAACUGACGCUGAGUCACGAAAGCGUGGGGAGCGAACA